AUGGCGGCGGCGGUGGCGACGGUGCGGUGGCGGGUGCUGGCGGCGUCGGCGGCGCUGCGGCUGGCGCUGGUGGCGUACGGGGAGUGGCAGGACGCGCACCUCGAGGUGCGCUACACGGACGUCGACUACCUCGUCUUCUCCGACGCGGCGGCCGCCGUCGCCGCCGGGGGCUCCCCGUUCGCGCGCGCCACCUACCGCUACUCCCCGCUCCUCGCCUUCCUCCUCCUCCCCAACUCGCUCCUCCACCCCGCAUGGGGCAAGCUCCUCUUCUCCGCCGCAGAUUUGCUCGUCGGGUUGUUCAUCGACGCCAUUCUCGAGCUGCGGGGGGUCCCGGCGAGGACGCGGAUCUGGUGCGUGGUGGCCUGGCUGUUCAACCCCUUCACCUUCACCAUUGGCACCAGAGGGAACUGCGAGCCCAUCGUCUGCGCCGCCAUGCUCUGGAUCCUCAUAUGCUUGAUGAAGGGUAGAGUACUGCAAGCAGCAUUCUGGUAUGGGCUGAUUGUGCACUUCAGAAUAUACCCAAUUAUAUAUGCAAUCCCCUUUGUUAUAGUCCUUGGCAAGAAUUAUGCCGGUCCUGCUGGUAGACCUGUCCUUACACAGUGGAGUUCGAAACAACAGUUACAAAGCGAUAAAGCCAGGGAAAAUGUGGAAGAACCAACAUCACUCUUGGCGACUCUAUGGAAUUUUCUCAGUAGCCUCAUAACAAGAGAUACCAUCCUGUUUGGGUUGUUCUCUGGAUCUAUGUUCUUUGCUUGGACCGGCGUCUUUUUCUAUCUCUAUGGGUGGGAGUUUCUAAAUGAAGCGCUCCUUUACCACCUCACACGGACUGAUCCAAGGCACAAUUUCUCGAUAUACUUCUAUCACAUAUAUCUGCACCAUCAGCAAGGGUUCUCAAGCAUACAGAGGCUGGCUUCGUUCCUGCCGCAGCUGAUCGUGCAGUUGGCGCUCAUCAUACGCUUCUCCAGGGACCUUCCGUUCUGCAUGUUCCUCCAGACAGUCGCAUUUGUGGCUUUCAACAAGGUGAUGACAGCGCAGUACUUCGUGUGGUUCUUCUGCCUGCUGCCCCUCAUCCUCCCGUGGACCGGCAUGAAGCUUAGGUGGAAGGGCCUGGUCUGCGCGCUGGUGUGGAUGGGGUCCCAGCUGCACUGGCUGAUGUGGGCCUACCUGCUGGAGUUCAAGGGUCGGAACGUCUUCGUGCAGCUCUGGGCCGCAGGCAUCGUGUUCCUGGCCGCCAACACCUUCGUCAUGAUCAUGGUGAUCAGGCACCACAGGCACACCCCGCUCUUCUCGGCGCCGGCGGGGCCCGGGACCAAGAUGGCCGCCAAGAAGGAUUAG
rnacentral:rRNA from 1 species